rfam:Pelodiscus sinensis unplaced genomic scaffold scaffold423, whole genome shotgun sequence.
CAUGCUUCGUUGCAUAAGGGCCAUUUUUGCGCAAGAGGCUUUUGCGCAAAAAGGAGCUGUCUAUAUAGCUCCUUUUUGCGCAAAAGCCUCUUGCGCAAAAAUGGCCCUUAUGCAACGAAGCAUGCAAAUUAUGCUCUGCUAAUCUGCACUUCAUUUGCA